AGGACUGAGAGCGCCCCCGUCACCCUGCCCCCGCUUCCUCCUGCACCAGCUCUGCAGGGCCUGGUGGGGGUCAUGGGUCCUGCAACACCGUCUCCCCGCAGUUCCUCAAGCAGCACUCUGUGAGGCCCUGUGCCCGGCUCUGGUGUGAGUUGGUGCCCUGGCAGCGCUAAGGGAGACUGGACAGAGAAGCUGGCCUGGGCCCGGUGGAGGGGAGGAGGGCCCUCAAGUGGGUUCCCAACCAGGAGGGGAAACCGGCUCCUGGUGACACAGCCUGGCCCCAUUGCCCACCCAGUGUCCCGAGUACCCACGGAUCCCACCUGCCUCGAGUCCCGGGCAGAGCUGGCCGGCCACUGGGCAGUCCCUUCCCCAGCCAGCCCGACCCAGCCUGCACUCCUUCCCCCUCCGUGGGGGAAGCUCCGUGGCUUGGCUUCCCCGAGAGCUGCCAGAAACUAGGAUGAAAGCCCCGGUGAGCACGGCCUCUGCUCCCCCGCACCAUUUCCUGGGGUGUCUGGAUUAACAAGCUCAUUUGAUCUGGUUACAGUGAAUUUUCUUCAAAGAAACACUCAAUCGGGUCCCUUGUCAGAGUGCCUCGCAGCACCUGAACGACGGUGACUGGGCACGGCUGCCUUUGUUCUGCCACCGUCAGAUGGGGCUGGCUGUGGGAGGCGACCAAAGACGUCCCCGCACCUGCCCUCGGAGCUUUUCCCUCCUCCAGGGCUCAGCCACCUCAGGCGGCCUUCAGUCUGUGCGUCCUGCCACCCCGGAGAUGUCCCAGAGGCCACGGUCACCCCAUCUGUUCCUGCCCCCAGAACCUUCUCCUGGAGCCAAGUAUCUGCAGGGACAGACAAGCGAGCAUCUGGGGGUUUGGUGCUGGGGUGUAGAAGGCUGUGGGGUGCUGCCCUGCCCCAGGCAGCCUGACUGUGACAGCCCCAAAUAGGAGACAUCCCAGCCCCUUCCCCUCCCCUCUACACUGCCCGCCCUCUGAGGAGCAGUGGCCAAGUUCCUCUCUGAACCUCUCAGGCCAGGCUGGCCCUGUCCCCCAGGGCCUCCCAUGAAGCCUGGGAGCUAUUCCCUCACAGGCAGCACAGACCUGGACGGACACCUGUCCCUGUGACCCAGCGCCCCCAGGCCCCAGUGAGGAGUAGCCGGGGGGUGAACAAGGGGGUUCCUGCUGCCUGGACUUGUUUGGGAAGCAGAUGCUGGGCUCAAAGGUUCUUCAGACAACCUCACCUUCCCUGCUGGCCCCAGAGCAUGGCAGGUCCCUGGAGCCGUGGAGGCCAUGGCAGCCCCAGCCCAGCCCACCCCACCCCAUCUGGGGAAGUGGAAACCGUAUCCACGAGGGUCAGUUCAGGUCUCUGCCUACAGUGACCUGGCAGUUUUGUGCCCAACUAGGGCCUGGGUCAGGCCCAGGCUGCCCCCACACCCUACCCAGAGUUCAGAGAAGACGGCCCAGCCUUCUCCCCACGUCAGUCAUGCUGAGCCCCGCGUCUGCGUUCACUCCUUUAAGGAACGUGGUUGACUCAAUUCAGUGCUGCAUAUUCACAGGAUGGCUCUCCAUGGGUCCACUAGGGGCCCAACCUCUUAUGUGGCCCCUCGCUAAAAGGACUCAACAGAAAGAGUGACCAGGCACUGACCCUCGUUUGCAGGAGGACUUGGCCAUUCCCUGAGCUGUCCCACAGCACCUGCCGGCCAGGGCCCAGGGCACAGAGCGAGACUCUGUCUUUUCCUCAAGGAGACACCAUGGGGGAGGGAAGGAGAGGUAGACACCACCAACCUCAUCCCAUGACCAGGGGCUGGCGACGCUCAGAGGCCUGUGGGUGUGUUCUCCACCCUGAAGGGUCAGUGCCAGCUCCCUGGACCCAGGGGAAGAUGACGCAGGCGGUGGCCCAGCCUGGGGAAGGAACUGAAGCCACCCUCCUGGAGAGAAACUGACGCCUCCCCAGUUCCUGUUAGGAAGGACCUCAGGAAAGAACUGGGAUCAGGCAUCCUGGGUUGGCAGCCUUUUGGCCCCUGAGGAGGAUGUCAGGCCGCAGAAGGGAGGGGAUGGGCAUGAAGCUUGGGAAGGGGGCGCCAGAGGAGGCAAGGCCUGUGCAGAGGCAGCACCGGAGGCCACUGCAGUGACUCCACCACCCAGCAGUGCCGCCACGAGUCAGGAAGUGGGAGGCCAGGCAGGAGGGGCUGUGAUGGCCCAGGUGCCAGGAGAAAGGGCUGAGGGGACAGUGCAGGCGUCCAGAGAGGCCUCGCGGGGACAGGCUGAGAAAGUCACAGGUGGGGAUGGGCUUUCUCUAGAGUUGUGUGUGGCCUGAGGACAGUGCAGCAAGGAGGGCCCGUGGUGAGCGCAUGCAGCUGAAGCGACAGCUUGGACUCCUUUGUGGGACAAGAGCCUCUCGAGGCCACUGCGGGGUGUUCAGAGAACAAGGCCUGUGAGGAUCUGCUGUGCCUGCAGCUGGUCAGUAGAACACUGGGUGUGCAGGGCCAGGGUGGGAAGGAGGAGAGCCGCAUGGACGAAGGAGCCGGGCCUGCCCAGCAGUGCCUUUUGGGAGGGCAGGCAGGAUGGGAUGUGCAGCUGUGACCUGCCGGGCAUAGAACUCCUUCCGGCCGGGGAGAGGAGGUCCCUUUUAGCCAGAAUGGACCAGGAGGUCCCAGAAAGACCUGGGAGUAAGUGGAUUGAGUUGGGCCUUAGAAGGAGAGCCGGGAACAGGCCAGGGGAGUUGGAGCCUGGCCAGGUAUGGAGAGAGCAGGGUACACUUGCUGCACCUGUGAGAGGAGCCAGGGGUGGCCCUGGUGGCCUGGGCCCACUUAGCUGGCUGCAAGUCAUUACUACAGGCUCUGGAUGGAGAGUGCAGAGUAGCACGCUCCUGCUCACUCCCUUCUCCAAGUCCACAAAGAGGCAAGAAAGGGAGGAUUUUAAACCCAAUCCAUACUGCAUGGCGGGUGAGAGCAGAGGAGCAAACAGCACUUUUGGAUCCUGGAAAGCAGAGGAUGAGUGAGUGUCCCAGGCAUCACUGACCUGAGAAAGGCGACUCCAAAGCCAGCAGCAGCAACAGCUGGAACUGCCCUAGCCUACACCACAGGACCCCCAGCUCUGGGACUGAGCAGCACCGGGGACCUCUGGGCUGGGGUGGAGAGGGAUGGCUGGAAUCACGUUGCAAACAAUAUAUUCAGUAGGCAGGCAGCUCCCUAGAUUCCACCAUGGUCUGCAGAGGCCAACACCUGUCCUGACAUCUUACCGGCGGGCCCUGGAGAGCCAUCUCCUACAGAGGCAAAACGAAGGGUCUCUGGGCCAGGACCAGGCCUGUUCAGGGGGAUGUGUGGCUAAGUGCAUAAGGGGUGCUGAGACUAGCCCUCGUGUCCAGGCAGUCCCCAGGGCAUGGGUAGCCAGGCCCUCCCCUUCCAGACCAGAAAUGAGAAGACUCCAUCUAAUCUCAUUGCAUGACCAGCGACUGGUGAAGCUGUCAGUUCUCUCUCCAUCCCAGCAGGAGACAACCCGACCUCAGAUAUCCCUCAACCCAGGGACCCAGCCAGGCCACCCUCCAGAGCAUCUCAGUCUGCAAGCCCCUUGGUAUACUUGGAGCUUCCAGUCACCCCGCUCAUGCCUAUCCAUGCACAGCCAGGGAUUGCCCUUCAUGGAGGAAAACUUCCUGAAACAAACAAGAAACAAGCUCCGUGGGGAACACAGACCGUGGAGGAAAAAGAAAGCUGUAGAAAAAGAUAGUGGACACCUUCAUGGAGGUGCGAGAGCCAUCGUGAAAGGAGAGGAGGUUAUAAAAAGUUCCUAGAGAGCAAAAUAAGGGCCCUUGGGGGCACAAUGAUUGCCACCAUGGAGACACAUUUCGGUGCCACUGGAGUAAAAACACUGCAGACGGGUGAGCUCUCAACAGAUAAAUGUCCCUCACCUUCUUUCUCAGGAAAGAUGGGCAGAAAUGAGGGCAGAAGCCACAGAGAGGAAACCGUGGUGACAGGACCCAGGGUCCUCCAAGCUGCAGUGGAGCAAGUGCUCGGGACAGUGGCGAGGGAGCAGUUCAGCCCCAGGGUGGUGCCUGGCAGCCCGUCUCAGGACGUCCCGCCCAGGGCAGCAGUACAGCAACAUGGAUAGAAAGCCGAAUUCCCCAGAAGAGCCUGAGAGAACACUGAAGUACUUGGCAUAGAGCCUCGGGUUGGAUUCGUAGUACGUACAGAAUGAUCCGCAUGUGAAGAUAAGACGAUUAUUGGCUUCAGAGAAAACAGCAGUGCAAGCAAGAAAAGGUAGCUAGUCCCAGUUUACGAUCUGGCAAUAGCGUUUACACAGUCGUCACGAUAGAAAUGCCGAGUCAGGAUCUAGUUUACUGUAGAACUCUAUCAGGAGGACUGGAAGAUAGGGAAUGCAGUUGGUGAAAUGGAAGCUAAAUGCUCUUUUUCUUCAGUGGGAAGGUGUGGCUUGAAGAUGAUUAUAAACUCUCUGCCUCUUGAAUCUUGCCAGGCUCCGGGGCUGCUAAGCUAAUAAUGUGGCAGAAGGGGCACUGCUAGUUGCAGGCCCAGGCCUUCAAGACUAGCAGCUUCCCCGUCUCUGGAAACCCACCUGCCCUUCUGUGAGGAAGCCCAAGCAGCUCUGGAGAAGCCCUUGUGGAGGGGCUGCUCUCAGCCCACAGCCGGCACCAGAUGGGCAGCCAUGCAGACCCCCAGCCUGCAAGCCAGGCCCGCUGAGGCCUCAGAGUACACACAGGCAGUCCCAUCAGCCCUGCCCAGAUGGCAGUUUUGUGAUCAAAAUAUAGACAAUAGACUAUCAUUGUUUAAGGUUGUUUGGGGGUAGUUUGUCACACAACAAUAGAUAGUAGAACAUUAGUAGACUCUGUGUGUGUGUGUGUGUGGGGGGGGGGGGGCAUAUAUAUAUAGCAUAUAUAUAUAGCUUAAAAUUCAGACAUGAAGAAGUAUCUUAUUUAGCAACAGUGGUAAAUAUUAAAAUAAAAAACCAAGAGAGGGGAAAGUGGUUGCCUCGGAGAUGGGAAAAUGUGAGGAGGGAGACGGGGAACUGCUGUUUGUUUUGUUUUAACCUCGUAGAUCGGUUUGAUACUUUAAACUACAUUCACUUAUAAUUUGGACAAAAGUAAAAACUGAAGUUGAAAAAAAAUGUAUUCAUGCUUAGCACAGGAAUGAUCCAUAAUUAGAUUCCAAGGCUUUUACAUUCAGCAUAAGGUGUAUGAAACAGUCCACUAUUCUAGCAACAGAUAAAAUUCCUACUGACACGCAACCUCAGGUUCCCACUCGGUUAGAAGGCUGCGUAUGGUCUUCUACUUAAAGCCUCAAGUAACAGUCAUGGCAGUGACAAAUCCUCAUUGCCUCCAUGGAACCUCUAGGCUCAUGUGUGAGCCCAGGCUGGGCUGGGGUCCCUGGGAGCCCAGGGUGAGUGGCCAGUCCCUGGGCAACUCCGUGAGCCAGGAGCAGCUGUGUCACCUGCACGGUCGAUGGGUCUCCUGCAGAAGAGUGUGCCCCAGUCCUUGCUGGGCACAGAUGUAAGAGGUGUUCAUGGGUCGAAAUCACAGAUGUCAAGGGCUGAUAGGAGUCAGAGUGGGGACUGGGAGGGCUGAGGCAGGUUAAAGAUUUGAGAGGGGCUGCUGUCUGCGCAGCUGCAUCACACUGCUCUGCUGUCCCCUCCACGUUCCCCCACUGCGGCCUCCCCUGGGGUCUUGAAGUAACUGAAGGCCCCUCAACCUGGCUCAUCAUCAGAGCAGACUGUUGAUUAGCUGCGGGCAAAUAUGAAGAGGCGAUUUCCUGUCACAGAAAGGCUGUGGUGUCUUUCUGAAGCUACGGAGCUGACGCAGGCUGAGCAGGCUGACCUUCCGCUGGAACUGCACAGGCAUAGCCACGCGAAACUGCGCUGGUUUGCCCAGGAGACGCGGACAAGGGCCCAGUAGAACGCAGACAAGGAUGGGGCUGCCCAUCUUCAGGCCUCUCACAGCCCCUCUGCUGAAGAUGCAGAAGCACAGCCCUCCACAGAGGAACGCCCACCCGAGACUCAGGGCGUCUGUGACAGGGAUCCAGACACACGACUGUUUUUACUUCAGCAAAAGACUGAGCCAGCAGAGCUGUGUAUUGGAAGCAAAGCCUCAAAGCACGAUGAACACCUGUAGAGGAGCAGGCAACCCAGUUGCAGAUUUGAAGAGGCAUGUGGAAUUCCUUGUGGCAGAGAAAGAAAGGUUGAGGAAAGAAAGUGUAAACAGGUAAAGGCUGAAAAGACCAGACUUCUAAAAGGUCCAGUAGAAAAGGAGCUGAAUGCGGGUGCUGAUUUUGUAGAAAAGUCAGUUACGGAGCGUGCCUCUGCAUUCGGAAACCGCUGCACCCUCUUCAGCCUUGCAGAGGUUUGCAGCAGAUGCCAGGAAAGUCAAGUACGUUCCAGUACCCGAUCUUCUCCCUCGGAUUUUCCAUCUCCAGAGCGUCCCCUUACAGAGCUCUCUCAGGAUAUUCUGAAAGGAUUUAUGAGUAAUUAAAAUGGAAGGCCAUAGAAGAAGGGAGAAGAGGAAAUAGUACUAAAUAAUACAGUUAAUGCAGCAACAAACAAUGAAAAGGGAAAGCCACAGGCAAGGGUAAUGCUGGAAAUGCCUCGUCAUCUGGCGUACUGUGGGAGAAGAGGCAUUGCCAGGACAUGGGGAACAGUCACUGUGAAGCGUGUCGCAUAUCGGAUUCACUGACUUGAGCUAAUGAUGCCGACGUGGCAGACACUAAACUCAUGGAGGGUCAGUUUCUCCUGAUACCAACCAAAUGGCUUCCUGGAAGAUUUUUUUCAAGCAGCAAUUAUUUUUCUUAUCGUCAGGGUUAAAAUGUUUAAAAGUAUGUUAUGUGUAAUUAAUCUAUAAUGCCAUAAAUGAUCAUGCAAAACCUAAAUAUUAAAAUGACGGCCUGAGGGGCUGCUUCGUAUUUGAAACAUACUUUGUCUCAGGCAUUGAUGUAUGCAUUUUGUUAAUGAUGUUGUGUUUAAGGUGUGUAAGACACUCCUUUCUAGAUGAAACCGGAUGUGCCACACUGUGCACUACUCGUAACAAUGAUAACCUCAAGACUAUCAGGAGAAAUGUUUAAAUUUCCGUGUUAUGAAGAAACCAAAUUAUUAGUUAUGCUUCUUAACACCAGUUACCAGUUUACAUAAUUAAUAAGGGUGCAUUUUAAGUUCUAACUCUGUUUAUUGCAUAAUGCAUCAUUUGAAAAUACCAAGGAAGUCUGUUCUUUGUUUUUAAUGAUCCGCGAGUGGAAGGAAUGCUAGUUGGCAGUAUUUGAUUGUAAGAAAUCAAUAAAGUAAUUGUAUUUUUUAAAAAAAGAUCUGAGCCCUGGUGGAGGCAACAGGACGCGAUGACUUUCACAUUCAAGAAGGUUCUGGAGAGCGAUGCCUUUCACAUUCAAGAAGGUUCUGGAGACGAGAGGUGAUUCUUAGAAUGAUGAGCUUCAAUUUGCACAUGCCUGAGUUUAGGUUCUGAAUUUAAAACCUUAUUGUAAGAUCAUCUCUUUGUACCUUCUCUCUUUUUAAGGGUUUUUAUAGUUUGGUGGCAGUUUGUUGUUUUGUUUUGUUUUUAAUAUUUAGAAAGUCACUUUAGGAGAAACAUCCAUUUAAAUAAUUUAUUUUACUUCAGAAUGUUGUUUUUCUCAACCAGGCUCAUGAACUGUGUUGUGUUCUUUAACAUUCACAAAUUGUGUAUUGCUUGGUUCUGGAAACCAGUUAGCCAAAUAAUUGAGACCCCACCAGAAAUUGAAGUGCAAAAUAGAACAGGAAAGCAAAACUCUCCAUUAGUGUAUUCAGCUUAACAGGUUUUCAACCUACCAGUCGUCCUCCUGGUUCUUAUGAUACAAGAUCAAGGUUAAACCACUGAAUACAGUUACAGUGUCCUUGACUUCAUAAGCUUUCCUUUCCACGCAUCCAUAUAGAUGCCCGAAGCACCGUUCAGGGCAGAAUUUAGUCUUGUCCCACACUCUCAAAGGACAACCAUGAUCUAGGACUUGGCUGAACCACACACCUACCAGGUGCCCCUGCCUGUGCUGCCAUCCUUGGGCCAAGGGGAGGCCUGGCCCUUGCCACUUCAGCAGGGGUGAAGGGUCAGUCCACUUGGGGCUCAGGGUGCCUGUCUGAGCGCCCCCUCCCUGAACCUGCUCCUGUGCCUGCAGCUUCCCGCAGGCUGAGGCCCCAGUGCCCUGCUUGUGCUGCUGAGGGAGGCUCCAUGGCCUGUUGAGAGGCCUCCCCAGGAAGCCCGUGGGGAGGAGGUUGGGGUGUCUCCUGCCUUGGGGGUGGGACAGUCCCUUCUUGUUCCCACCCCAGGUACCUGACCCAAGUUCUUCUGUGUGUGAGGAAUGCCUGGAUGUCCCUCCCUGGUAGGUGGGAUGGGACAGAGGGAGGUCCUGCCUACACAGCCCUUAAUUAGGAAUUUAAGAGAUUUGUGCUCUAGGAAGGAACUGCUUCCGCUACCAUUUGGCCCACUGUGUGGUGUGCAGACCCUCAGAUCGGAAACAGGUUUCAAAGAUGUUCAGGACUUGUCUCGUGUUCAUGAAGGUCAGGGUUCACCUCUUCCCCCCUGCUCCCCCUGCUAACUCUGCAGCAGACCCUGCACUAAUUAAGUCCCCACAACAGCCCUGAGCCCCAGGCUCUGUGAAAGUUGUCAGAAUCAAAAUGGAGCCACUUUUGUCCAACCCUAAGAGCAACAGCAAAAUAAUGUAGCCGGGAGGUUGUGAAGGAGGCCCCACCCGCACACCUGCCUGUGAUUCCGAAGCCUCUGGGAAGGGCUCUGAGGCGCAGACGCCUGAAACAAGACCUUUUUCCAGAACUUCUCAGGACUUUGCAGCUCGCUACAUGAGUCAAAAGGACGGCUAGCCGGAUGCACAAGAACACUUGCUUGAUACGCUGUGUCCACUUGUAAAUUGAUGUCCGCUCCUGGGAUAAGCCCCUGGAACCAGUGUUCUCUUCCUUUCAAAACAACCAUGUAGCCAAAUGUGGUGGCAAGUGCCUGUAAUCCCAGCUACUCAGGAGGCUGAGGCAUGAGAAUCGCCUGAACCCAGGAGGUGGAGGUUGCAGUGAGCCAAGAUCGCACCACUACACUCUAACCUGGGCAAUAGAGCAACUAAAAAAAAAAAAAAAAAAAAAAAAAAAAAUGAGCAUGCACUGCUCCUUUGGCCUUUCAAAGCCCUCCUUGCUUCCCCUCUGAUGCGCCCCUAGUUUACUAAGGCUGGGGCUCCACAUGCAGUGCUGCUGCUUGUUCCCAAUUAUACUCCACAGUUUUGGGGAGCCUCCCUCUGUUUCUUGAGGUUGGCAGGACUAUCAUUCUUCUUGUUCGUAGAUGAGGGAAUUAAGGCUUGGAGAGGUUCCGUUUUGAAGGACACUCAGUAAGUGGUGGAGAGAGAAUUUCAGCUCAGACCCAAAGGCUAUUUAAUUUACUUCUUUUAAAUCCGUGCUUCUUAGCGCUCAGCUAAUCACCUAUCACCUUGACAGCUUUUUGCCAUAGCCACAUUACUGCCUGUGGUAUUACUGAAUGUUUUUCUCUACAUAAGCUCAGAUUUUCCUUAAAUCUAUUAGAAAAGAAAACUUGUAACUGAAAAAUGGGGGACCACCAUCUCUUACCGUAAACAGAAGCCACUGUGUAUUCCACACACACCAAAAGCAAUGUCCUUACAGCCUCCUUAGGUGCUUUGAGUCUAAAGCAUGCUUUGUCUUGUUAAAGGGGAGAUGGCAAAGUUAGGGUGGCAGUGAAGACAUUAUAGAACCAACUGAGAUUCUCUCCUUGACAUUAUCAGAAGGGUUGGAAGAGAAUCAAAAAAUAACCAGCUGGGCACAGUGGCUCAUGCCGUAAUCCCAGCAGUUUGGGAAGCCAAGGUGGGCAGAUCGCUUGAGCCCAAAAGUUUGAAACUAGCCUAAGCAACAUAGCAAGAUCUCGUCUCUACAAAAAAUACCAGCUCCACAGGAGGCUGAGGCAGGAGGAUGACUUGAGCCCAGGAGGCCGAGGUUGCAGUGAACUGAGAUCACACCACUGCACUCCAGUCUGGAUGACAAAGCUAGAUCCUGUCUAAAAAAUAACUUUCUCAUUGUGAAGUUUAAUGCUAUUUAAUGUCUUGUCUGAUGGCAGCUAAAACAUGCCCCAUACCACCUAAUCUGGAGUAUCACACUUUGGAAAUAAGUGUGUGUCACAUUUUGGAAAAUGCUGAUUGCAGUGAAAGUGGGAAAUGUGGCUGGAACCCAUGCAUCUAAUCUGGAUCACAUUGCAUAGUGUUCAUUCCUUUUUCCUUCUUUGUUUUUAAGAUACGUCAAACAUGAUGAAUAGUGCAUAAAACAGAAAGGUAUGGCCUGAAGAAUAAUUACAGAAUUGAACACCAAAGUAACUGCCACCCAGAUCAAGAAAUUGUGGCCAGGGUUCCCCCACACCGCCCCAUACCUUUCCCAUUGAAAACACUAUUCUUUCUUACCACUGAAUGUUUUUUCUUUUUAAAGAUAAGAUCUCACUGUGUUGCCCAAGCUGGUCUUAAACUCCUGGGCUCAAGCGAUCCUCCGGCCUCUUAAAGUGCUGGGAUUACAGGUGUGAGCCACUACACCCACCACUGAAUUUUUGGAUACUCAUUUUAUUUUCAUAGGUUUUUUUUUUUUUUUUUUUUUUUUUUUUUGAGACAGAGUCUUGCUCUGUCACCCAGACUGGAGUGCAGUGGCACGAUCUUGGCUUACUGCAGCCUCCACCUCCCAGGUUCAAGUGAUUCUUCUGCCUCAGCCUCCAGAAUAGCUAGGAUUACAGGCACAUGCCAUCACACCCAGCUAAUUUUUGUAGUUUUAGUAGAGAUGGGCCAUGUUGGCCAGGCUGGUCUCAAACUCCUGACCUCAGGUGAUCUGCCCGCCUCGGCCUAGUUGCUGGGAUUACAGGCAUGAGCUACUGCACCCGGCCUCUUUUCAUAGUUUUAUCCCCCAUAUAGUUUAGGUUCGCCCCAUUUGAACUUCAUGUAUGAGUAAGAUAUGUUCUAUCCUAUGUGUUCCUUUGUGAUUUGCAUCUUUUGUUCAACUUUGUGUUUUUGAGAUUUGUUUAAUCUGUUGUGUUACAAAAUCCUGGUCAUUUCCAUUGCUAUAUAAUAUUCCAGUUAUGAAA